rnacentral:rRNA from 1 species
GAUGAACGCUGACGGCGUGCCUAAUACAUGCAAGUCGAGCGAACAGACGAGGAGCUUGCUCCUCUGACGUUAGCGGCGGACGGGUGAGUAACACGUGGAUAACCUACCUAUAAGACUGGGAUAACUUCGGGAAACCGGAGCUAAUACCGGAUAAUAUAUUGAACCGCAUGGUUCAAUAGUGAAAGACGGUUUUGCUGUCACUUAUAGAUGGAUCCGCGCCGCAUUAGCUAGUUGGUAAGGUAACGGCUUACCAAGGCAACGAUGCGUAGCCGACCUGAGAGGGUGAUCGGCCACACUGGAACUGAGACACGGUCCAGACUCCUACGGGAGGCAGCAGUAGGGAAUCUUCCGCAAUGGGCGAAAGCCUGACGGAGCAACGCCGCGUGAGUGAUGAAGGUCUUCGGAUCGUAAAACUCUGUUAUUAGGGAAGAACAAAUGUGUAAGUAACUAUGCACGUCUUGACGGUAACGAAUCAGAAAGCCACGGCUAACUACGUG